rnacentral:rRNA from 1 species
UUCCGUAGGUGAACCUGCGCAGGGAUCAUUACACAAAUAUGAAGGCGGGCUGGAACCUCUCGGGGUUACAGCCUUGCUGAAUUAUUCACCCUUGUCUUUUGCGUACUUCUUGUUUCCUUGGUGGGUUCGCCCACCACUAGGACAAACAUAAACCUUUUGUAAUUGCAAUCAGCGUCAGUAACAAAUUAAUAAUUACAACUUUCAACAACGGAUCUCUUGGUUCUGGCAUCGAUGAAGAACGCAGCGAAAUGCGAUAAGUAGUGUGAAUUGCAGAAUUCAGUGAAUCAUCGAAUCUUUGAACGCACAUUGCGCCCUUUGGUAUUCCAAAGGGCAUGCCUGUUCGAGCGUCAUUUGUACCCUCAAGCUUUGCUUGGUGUUGGGCGUCUUGUCUCUAGCUUUGCUGGAGACUCGCCUUAAAGUAAUUGGCAGCCGGCCUACUGGUUUCGGAGCGCAGCACAAGUCGCACUCUCUAUCAGCAAAGGUCUAGCAUCCAUUAAGCCUUUUUUUCAACUUUUGACCUCGGAUCAGGUAGGGAUACCCGCUGAACUUAAGCAUAUCAAUAAGCGGAGGAA